rnacentral:rRNA from 1 species
CUACCUCGUUUUGACUGUGUCGGAUCGUGGGCAGCACGCAGUACGAUACUUUCUUGCGUUGCGUUUUUUGAUCGUUCUUUUCGGAGCAAGUGCAGAGGUAGCAAAUGCACGAGCGGUGCGAUGCACGCGUGCGCUGACGAACGUCCUCCUACCAGUUUUUAUCGAACACUGCAUAGAAAAACGAAACUCGAUGGAUACCGUUUGUGGAAAUCCCGAAAGCAAGUCUUUCGCACGUUGAACGGCGCUUUUAUUGACGUCGGUGCGUUGGAUACGGAGAUUGAAACGGUGUUCUUUCGAUCGAUUCUGUUUUUCUUUUGGCGUGGAUGUUGUUCGAAAGAAAAGCUUGGGACAGAGUGACGGGAGUUCGUUUGGCGCGCAUGAAACGCGGCGUCCGCAUUGAAUCUUGUGGCGUUGAUUUGCACGCCUCUUGCUCGAGUUCGAGAGAACGAAAUAGAAACGUUUCUGGGAGGAAAGUUUUUGCGUCGUAGCCUUCCGUCAGUCUAAGACCUUCGCGUCCCCGAUGAAUACUGGACCCAUCCAGUAGGGGAAUGCCGUUGGAUUGCGCGCUUUCUUUUUUGUCGAAUCGAAAGCGAUGCAAAGCGUGUGUACAGCUCAUUUUUGCCAUCCUUUUUUUCUCAAGGGUAAGGAGGCGAAAGUCCGUUUGGAAAACGCAACAAAAAGACAUGAUAUUGUCGACCUCACAUCAGGCGAGACAACCCGCUGAAUUUAAGCAUAUCACUAAGCGGA